rnacentral:rRNA from 1 species
CUUUCUGAGUUUGACCUCGAAUCAGGUAGGAUUACCCGCUGAACUUAAGCAUAUCAAUAAGCGGAGGAAAAGAAACCAACAGGGAUUGCCCUAGUAACGGCGAGUGAAGCGGCAACAGCUCAAAUUUGAAAUCUGGCCCUCGGGUCCGAGUUGUAAUUUGUAGAGGAUGCUUUUGGUGCGGUACCUUCCGAGUUCCCUGGAACGGGACGCCAUAGAGGGUGAGAGCCCCGUCUGGUUGGAUACCAAUCCUCUGUAAAGCUCCUUCAACGAGUCGAGUAGUUUGGGAAUGCUGCUCUAAAUGGGAGGUAUAUGUCUUCUAAAGCUAAAUAUUGGCCAGAGACCGAUAGCGCACAAGUAGAGUGAUCGAAAGAUGAAAAGCACUUUGAAAAGAGAGUUAAAAAGUACGUGAAAUUGUUGAAAGGGAAGCGCUUAUGACCAGACUUGGACUUGGUUGAUCAUCCUGGGUUCUCCCUGGUGCACUCUUCCAGUUCAGGCCAGCAUCAGUUCAUCGCGGGGGAUAAAGGCUUCGGGAAUGUGGCUCCCUCGGGAGUGUUAUAGCCCGUUGUGUAAUACCCUGCUUUGGACUGAGGUUCGCGCAUCUGCAAGGAUGCUGGCGUAAUGGUCAUCAGCGACCCGUCUUGAAACACGGACCAAGGAGUCGUCUUCGUAUGCGAGUGUUCGGGUGUUAAACCCCUACGCGUAAUGAAAGUGAACGCAGGUGAGAGCUUCGGCGCAUCAUCGACCGAUCCUGAUGUUCUCGGAUGGAUUUGAGUAAGAGCAUACGGGGCCGGACCCGAAAGAAGGUGAACUAUGCCUGUAUAGGGUGAAGCCAGAGGAAACUCUGGUGGAGGCUCGCAGCGGUUCUGACGUGCAAAUCGAUCGUCAAAUAUGGGCAUGGGGGCGAAAGACUAAUCGAACCUUCUAGUAGCUGGUUUCCGCCGAAGUUUCCCCUCAGA